CUCUUUCGUGAUCUGCAAACUCCACCCUCAAAGAUCGUAUCGUUUGCACGGAAGCCCGCAUUAAGGCAGGCACUUCUGUCGUUAUAUCGAUAAUCACGAGCAUAAGAUAUUUGGAACGUGCUUGCAGUUCGAGCAGUUUCCUUAAUUGAAUUUAAGUAGAUGGAACGCUCAGUGAUGGCAAUAUCAAAUUUCAUGCGGCUAAAAUUGACAUUGUGUGCGCUUUGCGUUCAUGCAAAAUGCGAAAAGAUCAUUCAUCAUUCCGCAUAAUGUGCAGUUGAGUCCAGAGAACAUGGAAAACGUCACAGGAAGUGGAUCCUGAGAAUACUUUCAAACUAUUUUCUUCACGACGUUAGCAAAAACGCAAAGUGCGGUUGCUUUCGGCACAAUUGAUCGUUGCGCAACGUGUGAUCCCAUUUAUCAAAGUUUUGCGACAAUCGUAAAGUCUGCGGCAAUUUUUGUUUUGAAAAACUUUAUUUUGCAUAAUCAAGGUAUGCGCGUAAUGCAAUACAAAGACUGCUUUAUUUCGACCGUUAUGAUUGACUAGAAAUUGUUCUGAGUCGCAAUUGUGUAUUAAGAUCAUCUGUAUUUAAUCAUUCAUAUUAAAAUCAACUAUGCUAACUUUUAAAAAGUAAUAAUGCAAGAUAUAUUUUAUUUGUAUAAAAUCGCCUAAUCAGGAACCAAGAAAAUAUGAAAAGUGAUAACUUAAAAUUCAUACAUACAAACGCAAUCAAUUUCUUUUUGAUUUAUAUAGAGAGUUAUAUACCAUGUGGCAAUGAAAUGGUCUGCCUCUUGCCGCAGGAAAAUAUAUUGUUCUAUAUGAUACAUGUCCCGCGGGAAACUCAUCUGUGAGUGUUUGCAAACAUAUUUAGAGUCAUAGCACAUUGUGAAAACAAUAAAAGUUGCCGAAUUAUUUUAAUAAUAAAUCAAAGCUGUCGAUAUUGUUUCAAGAUUCUUCCCACAAUAUUUAUAAU